rnacentral:rRNA from 1 species
GUGGGGAAUAUUGCGCAAUGGGGGAAACCCUGACGCAGCAACGCCGCGUGAGUGAUGAAGGCUUUCGAGUCGUAAAACUCUGUCUUUGGGGACGAAUAAUGACGGUACCCAAGGAGGAAGCCCCGGCUAACUACGUGCCAGCAGCCGCGGUAAUACGUAGGGGGCAAGCGUUGUCCGGAAUCACUGGGCGUAAAGGGCGCGUAGGCGGUUUGUUAAGUCAGGUGUGAAAGUUUUCAGCUUAACUGGAAAAGUGCACUUGAAACUAUCUUACUUGAGUACUGGAGAGGUAAGCGGAAUUCCUAGUGUAGCGGUGAAAUGCGUAGAUAUUAGGAAGAACACCGGUGGCGAAGGCGGCUUACUGGACAGAGACUGACGCUGAGGCGCGAAAGCGUGGGGAGCGAACAGGAUUAGAUACCCCUGUAGUCC